UUUCCUGUUAUUCACACCAAAGUAUCUCAAAUAAGCUCUCUGUGUCCAUAAUACCUCAACAGCUUGAUCCCUGACACAAUCAAGCAUGAGACUUCCUCCCUCAAGUUCAAAAGCACAUAUAAACUACAGCAGGUGCUGAUGAGGGGACUUCCAGGACAGAUCCAGGGAUGACUAUUAUCUGCUGAGAGCCCAUGAAGGAACAGUCACCUCUCUGUUGCGUAACAGAUGGAUGAUGCCAGAUGUGUCUGCCCACAAAUCCCAAGCGGCAGCAGGCAACCAAGGUUCCCCUACAGGAGAAUGACUUAGAACCGCACAGUUGUAGAGUGGAAACCACGUUACAGAGUCCAGUGCAAGAGUGGAAACGUCGGCGUGGAUCAUGAGUGAGAAGGCAGGUCCAUGUCCCCGGAGCCAUGCAAGGAUAAGGCAAUGUUCUGCAAUCAUCACAAAGUCUGAAUAAAAUCAAUAUAAUGAAUGAGCCAAAUAAUUAGUGUGGUGUUAUCAGCUACUGAACUGGUAAACGACUUAUAAGACUGGGCAAGCUCCAUUUCCACCUUUCGGCAAAGGCAGAAAGACAUGCUCCAUCCUCCAGAGACCAGUGGACACCUGGACUGAUCAGUGGACACUUGAACAGUGGGAACCUGGAGAGUGGGCAUCUUAUCAGUGAGCACCUGGACAGUGGACCUGCAGAACCUUGAAGAAGAAUUAAAAUUAAAAGCAGUUCAGCGGGGCAGUUUUAGGGUAUUCUCUAAGGAAAGCAGAACUUUGGGGUCCCUAUCUGUUUAAUGGAAAUUAAACAGGGGUGCUUUAUUUUGGAAAAAUAGAAGAUUCUUGAUGAUUGCUUCAAAACAGACUGUUUUAGAGAAAUAAAACUGAAAUUAAGAAAGGAUUCUGAGCCAGCUCAUGAGUGGCAAGACAGUCUUAUCAACUAUUCUAAUCAGAUUUUAAUUGUUCUAAUCCACAACAACAGGAAAUUGAACAAUUUUAGUGAUGUCCCUACAAAAUUAAAUGAACUUCAGGAAUUGUCUGUUGUUACUUUUGUUUUGUCCUUUCCAGCCUCUGCCCCAGGCCUGUGGCCACCUUGAUGUUGAUGCUCAGGAACAGGAUUGCAUCAUGAACUCCUUUUUAAAGAGGGGGUGAUGGUGUCCAAGAAGGACAUCCACUUGCUCAAACACCUGGAACCAGCAGACAAAAACGCACCUAACCUUCACGCCAUGAAGGCCAUGCAGUCUCUCCAGUCUCAAAGCCACAUGAAGGAGCAGUUUGCCUGGAAACAUUUCUACUGGUACCUUACCAAGGAAGGCAUCCAGUAUCUCCAUGAUGACCUCCACCUGCCUCCAGAGAUUGGGUCUGCCCCUUGCAUGCAGCCAGGGAGUGAGUGAACUGAAAGAUUCACAAGUGAGGAGGCGAACAGAGACAGACACUUACAGAGGAACACCGCAGUUGCUGACUGGGGGUGCAAUAACCAAAUCUGACUUCACAGACAGCUUUGGUCUAGAUGUGGUCAGCCUCCUCAGUGAAGUGGAGGGGACUGUUUUGUUCUGAAUAAACUUAAGAAUUGGAAACACAUACAGCUGGGCACAGCCAGAAUUACUAUUUAUAAUGGUAUUUUGCCUGCAUGUAUUUCUGCACAGCAGUGCCAAUGGAGUUCUGAAGAGGAUGUCAGAUUGCAGAACUGGUGUUAUGGGUGGUCGUGAGGCGCCACGUGGGUUCUGGGAACAGAACAUGGGUCCACUGGAAGAGCAACCAAUGCUCUUAACUGGGGAACCAUCUCUCCAGCUCCAAGCAUAUGUUUUUUAGAGAAAAUAAAGUGCAUGCAGUCUUUUAUUUCAGCAACACACUGACAAGCUCUGGUCUCUUCUGUGUCCCUGAAUAUCCCACUUAAUGUUAUUUCCUUUCACCCUGAAAAAUCUUCCCCCAAGCACUCACACAGGGCAGGGCUCUCGAUAACCUCCUUGGUCACCGCUUCUCUUAAGAUGUAUUUAUUUUGCUUUCACUCAAAAUUAGUUUUGGUUAUUGAAUUCUGGGUUGACAGAAUUUUCUCGGGACUUUAAAACGUUUGCCCGCCUUCACUGCUUCUGUUAAAAAGUCAGACGCGGUCCGCACUGUCCCUGCUCCGUGUCAUGUGUCACUGUGCCCUCGAAGCUCUCAGGAUUUUCUCUUGUAAUUGGUUUACAGCAUGUGGUUUUUAUUUGCAUUUAUCUCGCUUGAGGUCACCUAAGCUUUUAGAAUCUGUACAUUUAUUUCCUUCUAAUUAA